CUGGCUCAGGAUGAACGCUAGCUACAGGCUUAACACAUGCAAGUCGAGGGGCAGCGAGAGGAAAGCUUGCUUCCUUGUCGGCGACCGGCGCACGGGUGAGUAACGCGUAUCCAACCUUCCCCAUAGUAGAGGAUAGCCCGGCGAAAGUCGGAUUAAUACUCUAUGUUGUGUCAUGAGGACAUCUGAAUAACACUAAAGAUUUAUCGCUAUGGGAUGGGGAUGCGUCUGAUUAGGUAGUCGGCGGGGUAACGGCCCACCGAGCCGACGAUCAGUAGGGGUUCUGAGAGGAAGGUCCCCCACAUUGGUACUGAGACACGGACCAAACUCCUACGGGAGGCAGCAGUGAGGAAUAUUGGUCAAUGGACGAGAGUCUGAACCAGCCAAGUAGCGUGCAAGGAUGACUGCCCUAUGGGUUGUAAACUGCUUUUAUGCGGGAAUAAAGUCAGGUACGUGUACCUGUUUGUAUGUACCGCAUGAAUAAGGACCGGCUAAUUCCGUGCCAGCCGCCGC
rnacentral:rRNA from 1 species